rnacentral:rRNA from 1 species
CCUACGGGCGGCAGCAGUAGGGAAUCUUCCGCAAUGGGCGAAAGCCUGACGGAGCAACGCCGCGUGAGUGAUGAAGGUCUUCGGAUCGUAAAACUCUGUUAUUAGGGAAGAACAUAUGUGUAAGUAACUGUGCACAUCUUGACGGCACCUAAUCAGAAAGCCACGGCUAACUACGUGCCAGCAGCCGAGGUAAUACGUAGGUGGCAAGCGUUAUCCGGAAUUAUUGGGCGUAAAGCGCGCGUAGGCGGUUUUGUAAGUCUGAUGUGAAAGCCCACGGCUCAACCGUGGAGGGUCAUUGGAAACUGGAAAACUUGAGUGCAGAAGAGGAAAGUGGAAUUCCAUGUGUAGCGGUGAAAUGCGCAGAGAUAUGGAGGAACACCAGUGGCGAAGGCGACUUUCUGGUCUGUAACUGACGCUGAUGUGCGAAAGCGUGGGGAUCAAACAGGAUUAGAUACCCCUGUAGUC